GGCUAUUUCAGGUUUUUGUGAAAUAGUAGGAUUAUCUACAAAUUAACUUGGACUGUAGAAUAAUCCCAAUUUUUAUUUUGUAGCCAAUUACUCACCACAGAAAAUUACAAAUUGGCACAGCAAGGCAUGUUCAAGGGAAAACCUGGCAUUGUGUACACAGACCCUGAGAGAUAUCGUACAGCAAGAACUGGUUUAAUUUAUGGGCUUCAGUUACAUACUUCCCAUUGUAAGUCAUUGUGCACAACUUUAUAAUUGUGUGUGUGUUAAUAUUUAUCUGCCAUUACAAUAUAGUGAUGUGACUGUGUUCUUAUUCGACUGUGUUAACCCAUUGAGUUACAUUGUGCCCUACUUUAUUAUUUUACUCUGUCUAACACCAGACUAUUUUACUCGUCAAUGGAAGAGCACUGGCGCUUAAUGGGUAUAACUGUUCUAUCCGCCACAUGUGUCUAGUUAACCCAUCAAGUCGCAUUGUGCCCUGAUGCACCCUAUUUUAAUGAUUAUGCUACUCUGUCUAACGCAAGAUUAUUUCACUAUGUCUAAUAGACUAAUACCAGAUUGAUUACAGUGAUUACAGUUUUUGAAGAAAGAAUUGUUUAGUAUCCGUACAUGGAUUAAACCAUUAACCUAUAUUAAGAUACUUAAUCUAUAUAAAACCUUAACCUAUAUGUGUAUUAUAGAAUUAGAACUUAACCAUAUAUGUGUAUUUUAAUCUGUAUAGAAAUUUAUUCUAUGUUUGAUCUUUUUGUAGAGUUACAAAACCGUUGUAUCAUGGCAGCUUUGACAUAUGUCCUUGAGGAGAAGGAGCAUACCUCAGGAGAACAUUCCUUUAAUUAAAGUUGUUCUUGUAAGUGAAUUUUGUAUAUUUUAUAACAUCUAGAUAGAAUGUUUGUGAUGUUACUCUGAGUGUGAAUCCACUCCGGGCAAGCUGAAAAGUUAGCUUGGCCACGGUGGGAAUUGAACCUGCGAUUUUUGGGAUACUAGUCCAAUGCUCUGCCAAAUAAGCUACAUGGUCAAGUCGGUUCGAGUUGAUGAUAUUUCGGAACUGAGUCUAGUUCCUUCUAUAUCAGUGUAUUCUAUAUGAUUAUUUUUUAUGUGUGUUGGUGUUAUGUACUUGAUGUUAUGUACUCAUGUGAUGUACUCAGUAUGACAAAAAACAAUCGGACAUAUAGAAUACACUGAUAUAGAAGGAACUAGACUCAGUUCCGAAAUAUCGUCAACUCGAACCGACUUGGCACAUAGCUCAGUUGGCAAAGCAUUGGACUAGUAUCCCAAAGGUUUUGGGUGUGGAUUCACACUCAGAGUAACAUCACAAACAUCAUAUUCAGUGAGUACAUAAUGCCAACACACACAAAAAAUAAUCUAGAUAGAAAUUAUGAAGUGAUGUAUAUUUUUGUAGUGUAACUACAGGAGAAGAAGUACAAUAUUUAGACAUAAGUGUAAGUUGUGCAUGAAAUGCUUAUUUCACUCAGUUAUAUAUAUAUAUUUCCUUGUUGCAGGAUGAUUCUGAAAUUGCUCCCAAAAUAUCAGGAUGCUCAACCCCUCGUCUAUUGGCCACUGGACCUCUGGAAGAGAUAAGUUCGAUUUCAUUGAUUGCAGAGGGAAUGGUUGUAAAAAAUUCAGAUACGAUCCGUGCAAUAUUACCAACGCAGUGGCACGUUUGCUUGCAGGGUACUAUGUUUUAACAUGCAGUACCCAAAAGGGGCCAACAGGUCAUAGUAAGAACAUUUACAUGUUUUAGUAAUUUAGAACAUGUUCUUUUGGCCAAUAAUUGCCAUACCGGUACUUUACCAAUUGACGUGGAGAACUUCCUAAGCUAAAGGAUUUUAUGAAUGUUCACAUUAAAUGGAACAAUUUAUGCUAAUGAAAUUAUGAUAAUAUUGUAUCACUAAUUUAAUGCAUGUAUUGUACAUGCAGGAUAUAUUGUCCCGAGGAGAGUUAUGACCCUCACAAUCAUGGGCUAUUCCUGUGAAUGUUUCUAUAUAGUAUAAC
rnacentral:lncRNA from 1 species